GAUGGGCUCAGGGCUGGGUUGGGAUGGGCUUAGUACCAGAGGCACUAGAAAGCGGAAUAUGAUCCUUUACUGUUUGUCCAAACAUCAAAAGAAAAAUUGCUCUUAAUAAGUUUCAUUUCACAAAUAAAUAAGCAUUGUAUCAAGCCACGAUUUAAUCAGCUUGAUCUAAUAACUCUGACUUGAUUGUCUUCUUUAAAAGUCUGUCUGGGCUGCUCAAACUGUUGUAAACACACUUGCUAGACUGUAGCUUUUAUUCCUGUUCAGACAGCCAAUAGAGUCUCUCAGUUCAGUGUUCCCUCCUACUGUAUGACGGCUACAUGUAAAGUGUCAUCAUAAAAGAGGUGCCCCGUUGUCAGACCCUCACACUAUACAAUGCAGAAAGGAUUGGCAUUACAAUGAAGAUAUGACAUUGGACAAUGUUUUUGUUUUACGCCUACUUCGAUAAUUUGUGCAUUGAAUAUGGCCAUGGUUCAACCAGACCCUGGGAUUUGUACUGAGAUGGGAGUUUCAGAUCUGUUGGGUGAUCAGAGUAAGCAUAUUUUUGUCAUUAUUCUAUCUUGCCUGACAACUGCUGUGAUCCUGAGUGUGAUUGUCAACAUUUUCCUCUUUGUGAGACUGAAGAGGUCACGAUGUGAACACUGUGCAGUAGGAACCCCUUCUCAGCAGAGCCAGUACAGAAAUCCUUAUGCCAACACGUCAGACCAACAGGUUAGCAGAAUUACUGUAUCAAGAGUGAGACUGGAUAAGAGUAUUAAAGCUAAAUAUUACAGCAUUAGAUUUAACCCAGAGUCUGAAUUGAGUGAGUCUUUGUUUAAUCCCCAAAGCUCCCCAGUGACAAUGAUGCCCUGAACUAUUCUGCCCUGAAGUUCGAUGAAAUGAAGAGUACCAAGCCCAGGAGACAGAGGAGAAAACAGAGAGAGGAAGAAACCAUCUACUCUGGUGUGUCAGAUAGACAGGAUGUGGCAGACCUCCAUUCAGUAUCACAGGCACUUUAAUUGGGGAGGGCGGGCUCAUAGUAAUGGCUAGAACUGAAUAAACGGAAUGCUAUUGAACGCAUCAAACAUAUGGAUACCAUUGCAUUCACUCCAAUCCAGCCAUUGUUAUUAGCUGACCUCCCCUAAGCAGCCUCCUGUGAUCAGCAUAAUUCUAAGUUAAGCCCCACCCCUCCUCUGAAUUCCACUUUGAUCUUGACUGUGUCCGUGUGACCUGGCUAUUUUGUACACUUCCGGUUUGCUGUAGAAUGCCAUUGCAGGGGCCUAGCUUCCCCAAAGUAUGAUAGCUGAUACUAGGAUGGUUUCAGAAGUCUCAAAUCCUCACCAAUUGUGGCUGAGGUUGACUGACUGGAUACAUUUGGUUUUGUAGAAGUGUACCACAAAAUAUAUGUUAUGAUUUUCAAAUGUCUGAACUCUUCCUUUUCAUGAUAAUACUUGUAACAUGGAGCUCUGUAACCUGCCCUUAUACUUGUGUGAUAUUUCAAUAAACAUGUUUUUAUUUACUACUUUUAAUGACUUGCCUAAUUCUUAUCACUUAUUUGCACCAGGUAUCAAACGAUCACAUCUUUAUUUUGUCAAAAAGGUGCCAACCUCACCAGAGUUCACCUCAUCCUGAAAGCUUGAACUGCCUUCUACAGACAUGUAGUGAGAGAUGCAAUGUAAACCCCCAGUGUACGGUAUGUCAGAGAGGGCAUAUGUACCAGUAGUCUCAGCCACCGACCCAAAUUAUGAAAAAAUACAAAUCAGUAACUCUGACUUUAUAGUAUUUUGAGACAUAUGUGCCAGUAGUCUGCCACUGACCCAAACGUAAAGAAAUACAAACCAAACGCUUUAACUAUAUAGUAUUUUAAGAAGGGGUUGGAACUGAAAUUAUUUUCCAAUCGUUUUGUUCAGAACAAAAUCAAUAUUUAUUUAGUUCUGUUCCACUGUUCCGAAAUUGCAAAAUAGAGUUCUGAACUGGAUCUAACCAAUAAAAAGUAACAGUUUAUAUCGUCCCCUCUGUUCCUUUUGGAACAUCAGAUAUAGUAAUUA
ensembl:lncRNA